UACGGGGGGGGCUAGCGUUGUUCGGAAUUACUGGGCGUAAAGGGCGCGUAGGCGGCCUACUAAGUCGGACGUGAAAUCCCUCGGCUCAACCGGGGAACUGCGUCCGAUACUGGUGGGCUCGAAUCCGGGAGAGGGAUGUGGAAUUCCAGGUGUAGCGGUGAAAUGCGUAGAUAUCUGGAGGAACACCGGUGGCGAAGGCGGCAUCCUGGACCGACACUGACACUGAGGAGCGAAAGCCAGGGGAGCAAACGGG
rnacentral:rRNA from 1 species